rnacentral:rRNA from 1 species
ACGAUUAAAGCUCUCUUCGGAGAGUGUAUAGAGUGGCGCACGGGUGAGUAACACGUAAGUAAUCUACCCUCGAGUGGGGAAUAACGUUCGGAAACGAACGCUAAUACCGCAUAAUGCGGCGGCACCGCAAGGUGACAGUUGUUAAAGGAGCAAUUCGCUUGAGGAGGAGCUUGCGGCAGAUUAGCUUGUUGGUAAGGUAACGGCUUACCAAGGCUACGAUCUGUAUCCGGCCUGAGAGGGCGGUCGGACACACUGACACUGAAUAACGGGUCAGACUCCUACGGGAGGCAGCAGUCGGGAAUUUUGGGCAAUGGGGGAAACCCUGACCCAGCAACGCCGCGUGAAGGAUGAAGUAUUUCGGUAUGUAAACUUCGAAAGAAUGGGAAGAAUAAAUGACGGUACCAUUUAUAAGCUCCGGCUAACUACGUGCCAGCAGCCGCGGUAAUACGUAGGGAGCAAGCGUUGUUCGGAUUUACUGGGCGUAAAGGGCGCGUAGGCGGCGCGGUAAGUCACUUGUGAAAUCUCUGAGCUUAACUCAGAACGGCCAAGUGAUACUGCAGAGCUAGAGUGCAGAAGAGGCAAUCGGAAUUCUUGGUGUAGCGGUGAAAUGCGUAGAUACCAAGAGGAACACCUGAGGUGAAGACGGGUUGCUGGGCUGACACUGACGCUGAGGCGCGAAAGCCAGGGGAGCAGACGGAUUAGAUACCCCGGUAGUCCUGGCCCUAAACGAUGAUACUUGGUGUCUGGAGUCUUUAAUGCUCCGGGUGCGUCGCUAACGUUUUAGCAUUCGCCUGGGGAGU